ACACUUGAGCGCUUGGCAAUGCAAGGAUUCAUCGCAGAAGUCGAAGUGUUGAAGGAGUGUUGUC
rnacentral:tRNA from 1 species